UCCACACAAGUGAAGAGCUUCUUCCUCUCUCCUUCCACGCGCUCUCUCCAUCCCAGAAGCUUCUUUUACCGUCGUCGUUCUCUCUAUCGCUCCAUCCACGAUCUCAUCAUUGACCUCAGCAACGGCCACUCGUUGGUCAUCCUCAUCCACUGAUUCAGGAAUAACUACACUCAUCCACCGAUUUAGUUUAAGUCCUUGCAUCUCACGAGCUCUCUUCGUCACUCCAUGAGUCACACGAGCUCUCUCUGCCACUGCCUCGUCAUGUCUGCUCCCUUCAUCGCCAUCGUCGCAGAGCUCUCUCCAUCGCUGCUCUCGUUGUGUCUGCUCCCUUCAUGAAUUUCAGAUGCUGUGCUUGCAAGAGUUACAACAGAGAAGAGGAUGUCAAUGAUCAAAGCCCGGGAAGAAAGUGAGAAAUCAAGAGCAGAGAACAAGAAGCUAAUGAAAACUUAGAUGAAGUGGUGGUUCUUGCUAAAGACCUUCGUAAAAGAUAAUAGUGGAGAAUUUUACGAGAAACACUACCCUCCAUACUUGAAUGAUGAUAUAUGGCGUUUGAAAAAAAUUGCAAAGGAUGGAAAAAUCCACAAGCGGCUCUCUUCCCAUGGAAUUCACACUGUUAAGGAUCUCCUGCAGCUAUACACAACCGAACCAUUUUCAUUAUAUGUGGUAAUAAAUCUUGUUUCUUUUUAUUUUCUUAUGAUUAUGGAAUGUCAUAAAAUACUAAAAAAUUUUUCAUUGAGGUGCAGAAAUGUGGCAGCGUUCCAAUUAAGUCAUGGACAACAAUUACUGCAUGUUUAAGUCAUGAAACAGUAUCUAUGCACAGAUGCAAACUAUGAAAUAGUGUAUACUAAUCCGAAUAGUUCCAAUUUAAUCCUUUUCUCUUCCAAAUAAUUUAGGCGGAGAGAAAGCACAUAUGUUGAAGACUUGUUCAUAGUUCACAUUGUUGGAAUGGACACAAUGGCUUGUGGAUUCAAGAAUGCUGCUAAGUUAAUUGAGGAUGGUUCCCUUGCUCAGCUUGUUAAAAAGCGAUACCAGAUUUUUGAUAAUCUUCAACCUGUGAUAAAGGGCUUUUAGUUUCCAAUUUUCAGGUUAGUAUUGAGCAUCAUAGUCAGCCCUUAACAUGAUUUUGAUAUCUGCAUGAAAGAGCAACUCAACAGAAAAAGUUGUAGAAUGAGAAGAAAAGUUGUUGUAACUGACAGGAGAUAACUUUUUUAAGACUGCUAGCUAUACAAUUAAGGCAGUAUGUGCAAAAUCAUAUGAAGAUACCACCCAGAAACUUAAGAACAUCGAGGCUCAGAUUGUAAGAAAGAGGAAUGAGCUACGCCAAUUUAAAGCAGAAUAUAGAAAGAUUACUAUUUGCUUUACUCAACCGUGGCUUAUGGUUUAUCUCGAGAUCCUUACAGUGUUUUAUCUCUUAAUGAUUUUCAGGCAUUGGCUCGCUACCAGGAAGUGACAGAGAGAUAUGCAAAAGAAAAACAAUUUGUGCUGUAAAUUUAGAGGAUUCUUCUUGGAAGGUAUGAGCUUUACAAUAUUUACAUGAUUUUCAUAUGUAGUAAUGUGCUGUUUUUCAGGCCUGGUGUGUGGGGAAAUAAAGAUGGUCAAGUGCAGUAAUCCAAAUUCUUGUAAACUCGUAUAACUCAUCUAAGAUGAACCAACAAGUUCAAGCUGAAGUAGCAAUGCUUUCUGAAACGGUAUAAAUUUUUCAUAACUUAAUGAUAAAUACCACAGUUGAUCCAAAAUUUACUGUAAGAUAUUCUUUCUUUUAUGUACAAAUGAGAUUUGAAUGAGUUCAUGUAGGAAAGUAUUUCCCAAGACAAGAAGAGAAGUCAUGUUGGCUUUGUAUUUAAAAGACUCCUCAACACUCUUGUCUGUUUCAUUUGUUGUUUUCUCUUUUAUUUAGUACACUCUCUCUAACAUGAAAGUGAAAGUGCAUAAACUGUUUUCUUUUAUGUAAUGGCUACAGAAUUCUGUUUCCAAUGUUUUGGAAUCUAAGUUCAUUUACCACUUAUUGAUGGCUGUGAGAAGUUGAGAACGAUUCCAGAAGG